GGAUAUUAUGUUUAUAUACUGUUUCCGGCUGCUUCAGUUAGAGCUACAAAAAGCAGCUAUCAGUUUUGCAGGGGUUGGUUUUGGAGUAUUUAUGGUGGAUUAUUGGCGGAUGUACAUAGAGAAUGGUGGUGUAAAGAUGGUCCGAAAUAUUUAUGUAUGUAUGUAUAUAUGUUUUUAAUAAAGAUCCUAAUUUCCAUUG